rnacentral:rRNA from 1 species
GACGAACCGUGCGAACGUUAUUCGGAAUCACUGGGCUUAAAGCGCGUGUGAGGCGGCCCGGCACGUCCGUCGCUGAAAUCCCCCGGCUCAACCGGGGAAGUGGCGUGGAUACGACCGGGCUGGAGGGGGGUAGGGGGAGCCGGAACUUCCGGUGGGAGCGGUGAAAUCGUUGAGAUCGGAAGGAACGCCCGUGGCGAAAGCGGGCUCCUGGACCCCAACCUGACGCCUGAGACGCGAAAGCCAGGGGAGCGAAACGGG